rnacentral:rRNA from 1 species
UCACGGGGUGGGCUUCGGGUGAUACGGAUAACCCUGGUAAUUCUGAGGCUAAUACGAGAAUAUAAUCCCUGGCGGACCGGGCAAAUGGGAAGCUGGGGGGCGUGCGAUCUAUUUGCAAGAAGAUCCCAGGAGGGGGUGCACGCUCUGACCGCGAUAAAGACGGUUCCGCUAAACCUUCGGGCGAGCUGGUUCCGAGCGGCUCUUGCGAUGUGCUUCUGACCUAUCAACUAGAUGGCAGCGUAACGGACAUGCCAUGGUUACAACGGGUACAGAGGAUUAGGGUUCGAUCCUGGAGAGUGGGCCUGAGAGAUUGCUCAUACUUCUAAGGAAGGCAGCAGGCGCGCAACGUUCCCCUUGGGCAAUGCCCGAGGGCGUUAGGGGACAUAUGAAUGGUUGCCUUUUAGGUGG